GAGUUUGAUCAUGGCUCAGAUUGAACGCUGGCGGCAGGCCUAAGACAUGCAAGUCGAGCGAGAAAGCCCUUCGGGGUGAGUACGGCGGCGGACGGGUGAGUAACGCGUAGGAAACUACCCAGUAGUGGGGGACAACUAGUGGAAACGCUAGCUAAUACCGCAUACGCCCUAAGGGGGAAAGCGGGGGAUCUUCGGACCUCGUGCUAUUGGAUGAGCCUGCGUAAGAUUAGCUUGUUGGUGGGGUAAUGGCUCACCAAGGCUACGAUCUUUAGCUGGUCUGAGAGGAUGAUCAGCCACACCGGGACUGAGACACGGCCCGGACUCCUACGGGAGGCAGCAGUCGGGAAUAUUGCGCAAUGGGGGAAACCCUGACGCAGCCAUGCCGCGUGUGUGAAGAAGGCCUUAGGGUUGUAAAGCACUUUCAAUUGGGAGGAAAAGCUAAUGGUUAAUAGCCAUUAGCCCUGACGUUACCUUUAGAAGAAGCACCGGCUAACUCCGUGCCAGCAGCCGCGGUAAUACGGAGGGUGCAAGCGUUAAUCGGAAUUACUGGGCGUAAAGCGCGCGUAGGCGGCUCUUCAAGUCGGAUGUGAAAGCCCCGGGCUCAACCUGGGAACUGCAUCCGAUACUGGAGGGCUAGAGUGUAGGAGAGGGAGGUAGAAUUCCAUGUGUAGCAGUGAAAUGCGUAGAUAUAUGGAGGAAUACCAGUGGCGAAGGCGGCCUCCUGGCUUAACACUGACGCUGAGGUGCGAAAGCGUGGGGAGCAAACGGGAUUAGAUACCCCGGUAGUCCACGCCGUAAACGAUGUCUACUAGCUGUAGGGGUACUUGAGGCCUUUGUAGCGCAGCUAACGCACUAAGUAGACCGCCUGGGGAGUACGGCCGCAAGGUUAAAACUCAAAUGAAUUGACGGGGGCCCGCACAAGCAGUGGAGCAUGUGGUUUAAUUCGAUGCAACGCGAAGAACCUUACCAGGCCUUGACAUCCCCGGAACUCUCUAGAGAUAGAUUGGUGCCUUCGGGAACCGGGUGACAGGUGCUGCAUGGCUGUCGUCAGCUCGUGUCGUGAGAUGUUGGGUUAAGUCCCGUAACGAGCGCAACCCUUGUCCUUAGUUGCCAGCACGUAAUGGUGGGAACUCUAAGGAGACUGCCGGUGACAAACCGGAGGAAGGUGGGGACGACGUCAAGUCAUCAUGGCCCUUACGGCCUGGGCUACACACGUGCUACAAUGGCUAGGACAGACGGCUGCAAACCAGCGAUGGGGAGCUAAUCCGACAAACCUAGUCGUAGUCCGGAUUGGAGUCUGCAACUCGACUCCAUGAAGUCGGAAUUGCUAGUAAUCGCGAAUCAGAAUGUCGCGGUGAAUACGUUCCCGGGCCUUGUACACACCGCCCGUCACACCAUGGGAGUGGGUUGCUCCAGAAGUGGUUAGUCUAACCUUCGGGAGGACGGUUACCACGGAGUGAUUCAUGACUGGGGUGAAGUCGUAACAAGGUAACC
rnacentral:rRNA from 1 species